UACGAAGGGGGCUAGCGUUGCUCGGAAUCACUGGGCGUAAAGCGCACGUAGGCGGCUUUCUAAGUCAGGGGUGAAAUCCUGGAGCUCAACUCCAGAACUGCCUUUGAUACUGGAGAGCUUGAGUCCGGGAGAGGUGAGUGGAACUCCGAGUGUAGAGGUGAAAUUUGUUGAUAUCUUGAAGACUGAGAAAGGCGAAAGCAACCUUUUAUCUAAUAACUGACGUUGAGGGACGAAGGCUCGGGUCACGAACAGG
rnacentral:rRNA from 1 species